GGUGGUCCCACUUUUAUUUACUGCGUCAAUUUUAGUGUAAAACGUGACAAAAGAAAAGUUUAAGGUGUUUAUAAAUGUAAUUACUUGAGUGUGGAUACAACUACGAAAGGCUGCAGUACAUUAGUGCUUCAGAUCUUGAUUUAAUAUUUUCCAAGAGAGAACAUCUUGGUCUAAAAUCCGAGUUCCGCGAGAAGCUCCAAAAACGGAAGCGAGCACAAGACAUUGAUGUCUGCGCAGGGGAUACGACACCAACAUAUAAAGAAAAGGUGACAUCACAACAAAAGAAUUUUUUGUGAGCAGCUUAAAUGAGCAUUACCAAUCCUAUGAAAUUGGCUCACUUAUAAAUAAUACUAAUAUAAUAAAUAUUAACGAAUUUGAAGGCCCAAUUCAUGUAUAUUACACACCAACUGGU